rnacentral:rRNA from 1 species
UAGGGAAUCUUCCGCAAUGGACGCAAGUCUGACGGAGCAACGCCGCGUGAGUGAAGAAGGAUUUCGGUUCGUAAAACUCUGUUGUUAGAGAAGAACAGCGCAUAGAGUAACUGUUAUGCGUGUGACGGUAUCUAACCAGAAAGCCACGGCUAACUACGUGCCGGCAGCCGCGGUAAUACGUAGGUGGCAAGCGUUGUCCGGAUUUAUUGGGCGUAAAGCGAGCGCAGGCGGUUUUUUAAGUCUGAUGUGAAAGCCCACGGCUCAACCGUGGAGGGUCAUUGGAAACUGGAAAACUUGAGUGCAGAAGAGGAAAGUGGAAUUCCAUGUGUAGCGGUGAAAUGCGCAGAGAUAUGGAGGAACACCAGUGGCGAAGGCGACUUUCUGGUCUGUAACUGACGCUGAUGUGCGAAAGCGUGGGAAUCAAACAGG